GGAAUAUUUAUGUCUAUUGGUUGGCUGAGGUUCCAGCUCACAAUGUCACCAUGAAGAGCUGAAGAAAGGCUUAGACAUUUUCAUCUCAGUACCACAGGAAACUUGCUUCUUCAGCUUGAUCUUCCCUUCAAAGAAGCAGAAUCAAUAAAAAAUGGAAGAGCUCUUCCACCACAGAAGAAUGUUUAAAUCACAUAAAAAUAUCGUAAUAAUUCACUGGGAUUGUGACCCUCAGAGUAAAUGUAUUGCUGACCUCCUCUGGAUAUUGCACU